GUGAUGUGGCUCAGUGGUAAAGUGCUUGCCACACAAGCAUGAGGACCCAAGUUUGAUCCUUAGCACCUAUG
rnacentral:tRNA from 1 species